GGUGGUUCUCAGGUGGCACACUCGGAAUUGGGCUCCCUCCUCUCUGGUUCCGGAGUGCAUCACCCGAGAACUGCC
rfam:Myotis brandtii contig180692, whole genome shotgun sequence.